rnacentral:rRNA from 1 species
AUAGGUCAAGCUACAAAGGGCGCAUGGUGAAUGCCUUGGCAUCAGGAGCCGAUGAAGGACGCGAUAAGCUGCGAUAAGCUUCGGGUAGACGCACAUAGUCAGAGAUCCGAAGAUUUCCGAAUGAGGAAACUCACAUGGGAAACCCCAUGUAUCGUAAAGUGAAUACAUAGCUUUAUGAAGGUAAACCCAGGGAACUGAAACAUCUAAGUAC